AACGCGAAGAACCUUACCAAGGCUUGACAUGGACCGGAAAUACCUGGAAACAGGUGCCCCGCUUGCGGUCGGUUCACAGGUGGUGCAUGGUUGUCGUCAGCUCGUGUCGUGAGAUGUUGGGUUAAGUCCCGCAACGAGCGCAACCCUCGUUCUAUGUUGUCAGCACGUGAUGGUGGGGACUCAUAGGAGACUGCCGGGGUCAACUCGGAGGAAGGUGGGGACGACGUCAAAUCAUCAUGCCCCUUAUGUCUUGGGCUUCACGCAUGCUACAAUGGCCGGUACAAAGGGUUGCGAUACUGUGAGGUGGAGCUAAUCCCAAAAAGCCGGUCUCAGUUCGGAUUGGGGUCUGCAACUCGACCCCAUGAAGUCGGAGUCGCUAGUAAUCGCAGAUCAGCAACGCUGCGGUGAAUACGUUCCCGGGCCUUGUACACACCG
rnacentral:rRNA from 1 species